rnacentral:rRNA from 1 species
UACGUAGGGCGCAAGCGUUGUCCGGAAUUAUUGGGCGUAAAGAGCUCGUAGGCGGCUUAGUAAGUCGGCGGUGAAAUACCGAGGCUCAACCUCGGCACUGCCGUCGAUACUGCUAUGGCUAGAGUUUGGUAGAGGAGAACGGAAUUCCCGGUGUAGCGGUGGAAUGCGCAGAUAUCAGGAGGAACACCAACGGCGAAGGCAGCUCUCUGGGACGUUACUGACGCUGAGACGCGAAAGCGUGGGGAGCAAACAGG